rnacentral:lncRNA from 1 species
GGUGGACAUUAUCUUCAUUUUACCUCAGCCAUUAAACAGUUGGGUUUGGAGUUUACUGCUGAUGACAUAUGACUUGAAUAUUUGAAAGAAAAAGGCGCAGGUGAUCGAAAAUGGAAGAUGCGGAAAUAUCAACCCUGAGGUUAGAGGGAACUAUACCACCGCUAUAAGUACAUGUUGUACGCAGGUGGAUUCCAUCUUAUAUGGAUCACGAGACACACUACGUGCUGGGCCGCUGGUCAACCGAGAGGUUUUCUUAGGCGGCAUGGUUGAGUGGUUCAUGGCUUCAAAAACAUAUCAUAAACUUCAUUCGGCGGGGUUUACGGAGACAUUCGACAACCAGGGCUUCUAAGAUUCCGGAGCUUAAGAGGGGCUUGUGUCAGAUCACAAUCUAAGUGAUGCUGCUAAAAAUUGGAGUAAUGCACUACCCUUCUGUUGCAUUGCAUUCUAUCAAAUGUGAUUAGAAUCAAUCAAAAAGUUUAAAAGGUAUAUGCAGGGAUGGGCACUUCUUACCGAGUACCGGUACUGUACCGAUAAUUUACCGAUUUCGGAUUUCGGUGUUACAAGGACUGAUGUUGGAACUUAUUGCUAUAAGCAAGCGAGCAUAAUUUUAUCCAGACGAAUAAAGCUUCGAUGUUGGAUGAAGUGAUAGAUUAUUUAAAGAAGCUACAAACACAAGUGAAGUUAAUGAAUAGCAUGUCAAUUCCACCACCACAAAUGAUGAUACCAGUACCCCUACAAUUGCAACAACAAGAAAACCACCUUCACAUGUCAAUGCUAGCCCAAAUGGGAAUGGGAUAAGGCUUUCAGAUGGGCAUGCAGUAUGCCCCUGCCACUGUAUGAUACUCUACAGUUGAGGCCAACCAUUGACCAUUGUCUUUUAGUUGAAACAAUGUCAGUAAAGGGAAGACAGCCACUUGCCAGCGAGGGAUCUCUGUGUCAUCAGCAUUCAUCGACGCCGAUCAGUUUUGGGUUGCAUGUACCAACUACCAACCCUAAUCCCAAUUGUUUAUACGGGGUUCUUUCCACCUAAUUACACCAUAUGUCUUGCGCUCCUAAUACCUCCCACCUACUUACACCGUGCUUAUGCUAAUUCUGGUUCCUUCAGCCUCUUCAACGUGCGUCUACAAAGAUGUAGGCAUUGCUGUUGGAAUGUAAUGUUAAUGUCAGAAUCAUGAAAACAUUUAUUUUGAGAAUUCGGCUCCUGAGGUGUUUUUUUAGAAACAUUCCCAUAUCCUAAUUGAUACCUGCUGAUAGUCGUGAGUGGGGAUUUAAGCCAACAAUGGACCUGGGAGAAUUUGUGAACUAAGUGGACCAACUCAGAGAUUCCGUUCGUUAGAUAAUGCUGUUGGUUUACUAAAACUGUAUGUAGAAGGUUUUGUAU